UACGGAGGGUGCUAGCGUUGUUCGGAAUUACUGGGCGUAAAGGGCGCGUAGGCGGCCGUUUGCGUCGGAUGUGAAAGCCCGGGGCUCAACCUCGGAACGGCAUUCGAUACGGGACGGCUGGAGACCGGGAGAGGAGAGUGGAAUAGCCAGUGUAGAGGUGAAAUGCGCAGAUAUCAGGAAGAACACCCGUGGCGAAGGCGGCUCUCUGGGACGGUACUGACGCUGAGACGCGAAAGCGUGGGGAGCGAACAGG
rnacentral:rRNA from 1 species